GAUCCAGCCAUGCCGCGUGUGUGAAGAAGGCUUUCGGGUUGUAAAGCACUUUCAGUGGGGAAGAAAUCCUCGGGGCCAAUACCCCCGAGGGAGGACAUCACCCACAGAAGAAGCACCGGCUAACUCCGUGCCAGCAGCCGCGGUAAUACGGAGGGUGCAAGCGUUAAUCGGAAUUACUGGGCGUAAAGCGCGCGUAGGCGGCGUGAUCAGCCGGUUGUGAAAGCCCCGGGCUCAACCUGGGAACAGCAUCCGGGAACUGUCACGCUAGAGUGCAGGAGAGGAAGGUAGAAUUCCCGGUGUAGCGGUGAAAUGCGUAGAGAUCGGGAGGAAUACCAGUGGCGAAGGCGGCCUUCUGGACUGACACUGACGCUGAGGUGCGAAAGCGUGGGUAGCAAACAGGAUUAGAUACCCUGGUAGUCCACGCCGUAAACGAUGUCGACUAGCCGUUGGGGUCCUUGUGACCUUUGUGGCGAAGUUAACGCGAUAAGUCGACCGCCUGGGGAGUACGGCCGCAAGGUUAAAACUCAAAUGAAUUGACGGGGGCCCGCACAAGCGGUGGAGCAUGUGGUUUAAUUCGAUGCAACGCGAAGAACCUUACCUACUCUUGACAUCGUGCGAACUUGUGAGAGAUCACUUGGUGCCUUCGGGAACGCACAGACAGGUGCUGCAUGGCCGUCGUCAGCUCGUGUUGUGAAAUGUUGGGUUAAGUCCCGUAACGAGCGCAACCCCUAUCCCUAUUUGCCAGCGAUUCGGUCGGGAACUCUAGGGAGACUGCCGGUGACAAACCGGAGGAAGGUGGGGAUGACGUCAGGUCAUCAUGGCCCAUACGAGUAGGGCUACACACGUGCUACAAUGGCCGGUACAAAGGGUUGCGAAGCCGCGAGGUGUAGCUAAUCCCGAAAAGCCGGUCUCAGUCCGGAUCGGAGUCUGCAACUCGACUCCGUGAAGUCGGAAUCGCUAGUAAUCGUAAAUCAGAAUGCUACGGUGAAUACGUUCCCGGGCCUUGUACACACCGCCCGUCACACCAUGGGAGUGGACUGCACCAGAAGUGGUUAGCCUAACUUCGGAGGGCGAUCACCACGGUGUGGUUCAUGACUGGGGGGAA
rnacentral:rRNA from 1 species